UGAUCCAAUUCGAAGUUGUUGAUGUUUAUACCGAUCGAUCAUAGAAGAAAUAUGAUUCAUUCCAAUCAGGAUUUCAGAUCACACGUGCGCAAACCAAACCAAAAAAAAAAGUAUCUCAGAACUACAAGAUUCUGAACCUAUAAUAGAAUCCUAGGUUGAUAAUCUGCAAGACCAAUGAAAGCUGCAUUGGAUUACACCCCUGAACUUAUCAAUGUCAACUCCAUUGUCCUUAAGAAAAGAUAGGAAGUUGUAAAAACUAUCAUCUGUUGGGCGACAUUGUUUAUUGAAUUUUUCCUCGCCUAUGUAGAUGUUAUUUAUUGAAUUUUUCCUCGCCUGUGUAGGAUUUUCAAGGAAGUUGUCUUUCGCUAGAGUGGGUUAAGAUCUAUUGAUUGUUUAUUUUGUUGCCCUCUUUUAUAAAAUAGGUUUAGAGCAUAUCCUGUCCGAAACCUUUGUUUCAAUCUCUUUUUGUAUUUGAGAUUCUAAACUUAUGUUUCAAUCUCUCUUUGUAUAUGCAACUCUUGGUGAUCUAACAAGGACAUAUCUACUUGCAGUAUGUUUUUAUAACUUUUGUCCAUUCAAUACAUGGUGAUCGGUUGAUAAACACUGGUAUGUAAAUCUUGUAAUCCUUCACAUAUCUUUUUUGAUGUUAAGAAGUUUAUUUCCCCUCUCCUCUUUUUCUAGAUUUGUUUCCUGCACGGAUAUGUUUUAGUUUUUGCCCUUCUGAUAUUGUAUUUUCUUUGACACCCUAUUACUAUGUGCAACUAUGAAGUUCCUUUUUCUUCUUUAUCCUUUUUCUCUUAUACGUUUUUAAUUUGAUUAUUAUGUUGUCUAUUUGAGGUUGAGACAUGAAGGGUAGAGACAAGUUUUUAUGUUGUUUCUCUUAAAUAUGUUUUUCUGAUUUUACAAGAUUGAAGAUAAGAUCAGUGCAAUUCUGAAUGGGUUAUCUACUGAUUUGGAUUUGCUAAGAAUUUUUUCCCCUAUCCCCUUUCUGGAAUUAUUUCCUGUAUAUAUAUAUAUAUAUAUAUAUAUUUGGGUGGGGUUUCUGAUGUUGUACCUUCUUUGUAUCCCUAUUAGAAUGUGCGGCUAUGAUGUUCCUUUUUCUUCUUUAUCCUUUUUAAUGGGAGCAAUUAUAUGGUUUAAGCAAGAGGAAUCGGUCUCAGAGAUGUAACGUUGUAGCAACGUAGAUAAAUUUGAGUUCCAAGGCAUUGGAUAAGAUUAGUUUCCUUUUACACACAAAAAAGGAGAUUUUCGAUGAAGGUAAUAACACAAAGCUUAAGAUCCUGGUUAGUGAAUGACUCCAAUGAAACAAUGAAAAUAUUAUGAACUUGAUGAUUUUUCGAUGUUCCUGGUGUUUUGAUUACUUUUGACUAAUUCCAAACCUUACUUUCCAAAUCAAAUCAUAAGACAUGCAGGCAGCAGUGAAGGAGUCUGCAUCACCAAUUCUUCUCUUGACCCUCCUAUAGCUGAAACGAAAGUGAAUAUUUGUGGGGUUCACUGUGUCCAAGGAUGACCAAGUGAUGGUGAAUGCAUGGGUUAUUGAGCGAGAUACUACCAUAUGCCUAAUGGAAGUUGUGUUUAUGAUGCCUGAAGGAAGUUAUUAUGGUUUUGAGAAGAUUUGUGAUAUCUGUGAAGGUUUUUGUUGCCAAUACUGUUCUCUUUAUUUUUCUAAUAAAAUUUAUAUUUGCGUUUUGAAAUUA